rnacentral:pre_miRNA from 1 species
CGGGGGAGGCCGGAUCCUGGGCUGUGUCCCGGCGCCCUGUGCUCCGGAGCCUGCGCUAUUGGAUUCGCGCUCCCGCCCCGCAGCCCCCU